rnacentral:rRNA from 1 species
UACGUAGGCAGCGAGCGUUGUUCGGAAUUACUGGGCGUAAAGAGUGUGUAGGCGGUGCUCUAAGUUCGGUGUGAAAUCUCCUGGCUCAACUGGGAGGGUGCGCCGGAAACUGGAGUGCUUGAGCGUGGGAGAGGAAAGCGGAAUUCCUGGUGUAGCGGUGAAAUGCGUAGAUAUCAGGAGGAACACCUGUGGUGUAGACGGCUUUCUGGACCAGAGCUGACGCUGAGACACGAAAGCGUGGGUAGCAAACAGG